rnacentral:rRNA from 1 species
UUGAACGCUGGCGGCAGGCCUAACACCUGCAAGUCGAACGGUAACAGGAAGCAGCUUGCUGCUUUGCUGACGAGUGGCGGCCGGGUGAGUAAUGUCUGGGAAACUGCCUGAUGGAGGGGGAUAACUACUGGAAACGGUAGCUAAUACCGCAUAACGUCGCAAGACCAAAGAGGGGGACCUUCGGGCCUCUUGCCAUCGGAUGUGCCCAGAUGGGAUUAGCUAGUAGGUGGGGUAACGGCUCACCUAGGCGACGAUCCCUAGCUGGUCUGAGAGGAUGACCAGCCACACUGGAACUGAGACACGGUCCAGACUCCUACGGGAGGCAGCAGUGGGGAAUAUUGCACAAUGGGCGCAAGCCUGAUGCAGCCAUGCCGCGUGUAUGAAGAAGGCCUUCGGGUUGUAAAGUACUUUCAGCGGGGAGGAAGGGAGUAAAGUUAAUACCUUUGCUCAUUGACGUUACCCGCAGAAGAAGCACCGGCUAACUCCGUG